UACGGAGGGUGCGAACGUUAAUCGGAAUCACUGGGCGUAAAGCGCGCGUAGGCGGCCAACUAAGUCGGAUGUGAAAUCCCCAGGCUUAACCUGGGAACUGCAUCCGAUACUGGAUGGCUUGAAUCCGGGAGAGGGAUGCAGAAUUCCAGGUGUAGCGGUGAAAUGCGUAGAUAUCUGGAGGAAUACCGGUGGCGAAGGCGGCAUCCUGGACCGGCAUUGACGCUGAGGAGCGAAAGCUAGGGGAGCAAACGGG
rnacentral:rRNA from 1 species